AGAAUCAACGCUGGCGGCGUGCCUCAGACAUGCAAGUCGAACGCGAAAGUCCCCUUCGGGGGACAAGUAGAGUGGCGCACGGGUGAGUAACACGUAGGUAAUCUACCUUCGGGUGGGGAAUAACAACCGGAAACGGUUGCUAAUACCGCAUAAUGCAGCGGCACCUAAUGGUGACAGUUGUUAAAGCGGGGGAUCGCAAGAUCUCGCGCCUGAAGAGGAGCCUGCGGCGGAUUAGCUAGUUGGUAGGGUAAUGGCCUACCAAGGCGACGAUCCGUA
rnacentral:rRNA from 1 species